rnacentral:rRNA from 2 species
GAUCGCAUGAUUUUUAGAUGAAAGAUGGCUCUGCUAUCGCUUUUAGAUGGACCCGCGGCGUAUUAACUAGUUGGUGGGGUAACGGCCUACCAAGGUGAUGAUACGUAGCCGAACUGAGAGGUUGAUCGGCCACAUUGGGACUGAGACACGGCCCAAACUCCUACGGGAGGCAGCAGUAGGGAAUCUUCCACAAUGGACGCAAGUCUGAUGGAGCAACGCCGCGUGAGUGAAGAAGGUCUUCGGAUCGUAAAACUCUGUUGUUAGAGAAGAACACGAGUGAGAGUAACUGUUCAUUCGAUGACGGUAUCUAACCAGCAAGUCACGGCUAACUACGUGCCAGCAGCCGCGGUAAUACGUAGGUGGCAAGCGUUGUCCGGAUUUAUUGGGCGUAAAGGGAACGCAGGCGGUCUUUUAAGUCUGAUGUGAAAGCCUUCGGCUUAACCGGAGUAGUGCAUUGGAAACUGGAAGACUUGAGUGCAGAAGAGGAGAGUGGAACUCCAUGUGUAGCGGUGAAAUGCGUAGAUAUAUGGAAGAACACCAGUGGCGAAAGCGGCUCUCUGGUCUGUAACUGACGCUGAGGUUCGAAAGCG